rnacentral:lncRNA from 1 species
CAAUAAUCCCAUGAAUUCUCGACAUCGUGACCGUCACCACAUGCUCCUGACGAACACCAAUGAAAAGAUGACACAUCCUCCACAACCAUCGACGAGCAUCAAUGUCCGCUUAUCAUGAUCUAGUGUCUCUUCGUCAAUACUUAUCGACGAUAGGAGAUAGGGAUCGAGAAUGAGAAAGGUGUGGAAUCGAAAAAAAGAGAGA